rnacentral:rRNA from 1 species
UACGAAGGGUGCAAGCGUUGUUCGGAAUCAUUGGGCGUAAAGCGCGCGCAGGCGGAUUUGCAAGUCAGAUGUGAAAUCUCAGGGCUCAACCCUGAAACUGCGUCUGAAACUGCAAGUCUAGAAUGUCGGAGGGGGUAGGGGAAUUUCACGUGUAGGGGUAAAAUCCGUAGAGAUGUGAAGGAACACCGGAGGCGAAGGCGCCUACCUGGACGACUAUUGACGCUAAGGCGCGAAAGCGUGGGGAGCAAACAGG